rnacentral:rRNA from 1 species
CCUACGGGAGGCUGCAGUGAGGAAUAUUGGUCAAUGGACGAGAGUCUGAACCAGCCAAGUAGCGUGAAGGAUGACUGCCCUAUGGGUUGUAAACUUCUUUUAUAUGGGAAUAAAAUGUUCCACGUGUGGGAUUUUGUAUGUACCAUAUGAAUAAGGAUCGGCUCACUCCGUGCCAGCAGCCGCGGUAAUACGGAGGAUCCGAGCGUUAUCCGGAUUGAUUGGGUUUAAAGGGAGCGUAGGUGGAUUGUUAAGUCAGUUGUGAAAGUUUGCGGCUCAACCGUAAAAUUGCAGUUGAAACUGGCAGUCUUGAGUACAGUAGAGGUGGGCGGAAUUCGUGGUGUAGCGGUGAAAUGCUUAGAUAUCACGAAGAACUCCGAUUGCGAAGGCAGCUCACUGGACUGCAACUGACACUGAGGCUCGAAAGUGUGGGUAUCAAACAGGAUUAGAUACCCUGGUAGUC